AACGAACGCUGGCGGCAGGCUUAACACAUGCAAGUCGAGCGCCCCGCAAGGGGAGCGGCUGACGGGUGAGUAACGCGUGGGAAUCUACCCAUCUCUACGGAAUAACGCAUGGAAACGUGUGCUAAUACCGUAUACGUCCUUCGGGAGAAAGAUUUAUCGGAGAUGGAUGAGCCCGCGUUGGAUUAGCUAGUUGGUGGGGUAAAGGCCUACCAAGGCGACGAUCCAUAACUGGUCUGAGAGGAUGAUCAGCCACACUGGGACUGAGACACGGCCCAGACUCCUACGGGAGGCAGCAGUGGGGAAUAUUGGACAAUGGGCGCAAGCCUGAUCCAGCCAUGCCGCGUGAGUGAUGAAGGCCCUAGGGUUGUAAAGCUCUUUCACCGGUGAAGAUAAUGACGGUAACCGGAGAAGAAGCCCCGGCUAACUUCGUGCCAGCCGCCGCAGUAACAC
rnacentral:rRNA from 1 species